rnacentral:rRNA from 1 species
CCUACGGGUGGCAGCAGUGGGGAAUAUUGCACAAUGGGGGAAACCCUGAUGCAGCGACGCCGCGUGAGUGAAGAAGUAAUUCGUUAUGUAAAGCUCUAUCAGCAGGGAAGAAAAUGACGGUACCUGAGUAAGAAGCCCCGGCUAACUACGUGCCAGCAGCCGCGGUAAUACGUAGGGGGCAAGCGUUAUCCGGAUUUCCUGGGUGGAAAGGGAGCGUAGACGGCAGUGCAAGUCUGGAGUGAAAGGCGGGGGCUAAACCCCCGGACUGCUCUGGAAACUGUACGGCGGGAGUGCAGGAGAGGUAAGUGGAAUUCCUAGUGUAGCGGUGAAAUGCGUAGAUAUUAGGAGGAACACCAGUGGCGAAGGCGGCUUACUGGACUGUAACUGACGUUGAGGCUCGAAAGCGUGGGGAGCAAACAGGAUUAGAUACCCCGGUAGUC